AACAGCACGCCUGUGUGGGAUUAAGUCAGGAGAUGAUAUGAAUUUUUAUGGAUACAUUUCUACCACAUACAGGCAAAGAGGAAAGGAGAAUUGAGGCCCAACAGCCCAUAAAACCCAUCAUUUUUUUUGAGUGCGAGCAGCAGCAGAGUUUAAAGGAACCCGGAAGGCUACAGCUAAGAUCCAAUUCUUCUUUCCAGGAGAGAUUUGAUCCAGUGAGCUUGCACAGCACUGCAGGACUUUGUUUCAAGCAAUUAACUACGAUGACACUAUAAACCAGAACUUUGUACUUGCACAUCGGGAACAACCAAUGUAAAAUGUAUAAACUGAGAUUAGUACUGUACAAUGAUGAUAAUAACAUUUAUUAACUUUUUGCCUUUCUUGUCAUGAACAUUCUAAGUUGGUUCACAGGAGCAUUAUAAACUAAGUAUGAAACAUCCACAUAAAGGAGGGAUUAGGUUCAAUGACCAAAAAAAAAUCAGUGAAAUGCAAUAGUGUUACGUGAUGUGAUCAAAUUCAUUACCAAAUUGUGAUUGGAGUAAUUUUCUGUCAUCAUCUUCUCUCCUUGAUUGGGUCUAUUUGUUCUGUCAUAAGGUACAGCCACUUGUAAGUCUAAAUGAGAAGGAGCUCUUGUCUUAGUUUAUUGCAUGAAAGCAAUUAAGUACUGUUGUGCUAGGCCAUUAAUACCCUGGAGUAACUUUGCGAUGAUAUCACAAAGCUGCACAUCAUUGAGUAUAAGUAAUAUAGCAUGGGUGGAACUAUAACACAUUACAGCCUGGAAUGCUCCAAACUCCAAAAUGACAAUAGAACUUCACGAGGAAAUAUUAGCAAAUUCCUCUAUCAGAUAGUCUUCGGGAGUUUUAUUGAAGUGUAUUGUUAUUGUUCAACACUACUUCAGCCCAAGUUUUCAAAUCCCAUUAUUGACUUGUCCCUCCCUAUCUCUGUAAUUUCCUAAAACUACUGGUUUCAUCUGUCUUUAUUGCUACAAGCUCUAAAUCAGCUCUCAUUGGUUAAGAUGGCAUGAGCAUUGAAACUUGGGAGUCCA